rnacentral:rRNA from 1 species
CUUCGGCGAUAAAGACUUUGUCGCUAAGAGAGGAGCCUGCGUCCUAUCAGGUCGUUGGUGGGGUAAUGGCCCACCAAGCCAAUAACAGGUAACCGGUGUGAGAGCACGACCGGUCACAAGGUCACUGAAAUACGGGGCCUACACCUACGGGUGGCAGCAACCAGGAAUAUUGCGCAAUGGACGAAAGUCUGACGCAGCGACACCGCGUGUGGGAAGACGCUUUUCGGAGUGUAAACCACUGUGGCAAGGGAAGAAUUGUUGACGGUACCUUGCUAGAAAGCACCUGCUAACUACGUGCCAGAAGCCUCGGUAAUACGUAGGGUGCAAGCGUUAUCCGGAUUUACUGGGCGUAAAGGGUUCGUCGGCGUCUUUAUAAGUUCUUUGUUUAAGCCUGGGGCUUAACCCCAGAACAGCAAAGAAUACUGUAAAGAUUGAGUAUAUUCGGGGGAAUUAGAAUUCUCAGUGGAGGGGUGAAAUCCGUAGAGAUUGAGAAGAAUACCGUACGCGAAGGCAGAUUCCUAGAAUAUCACUGACGCUCAGGAACGAAAGCUUGGGUAGC